rnacentral:tRNA from 1 species
GAGGGUAUAGCUCAGUGGUAGAGCAUGCUUAGCAUGCAUGAGGUCCUGGGUUCAAUCCCCAGUGCCCUUU